rnacentral:rRNA from 2 species
GACAGACUUAAAACUUUAAUUUCUACAUUAAAAUUUUAUCUUAAUUCAACAUCGAGGUCGCAAUAAUUUUUAUCAAUAUGAACUUUCCAAAAAUAUAACGCUGUUAUCCCUAAGGUAAUUAAAUCUAAAUUCAUAAAUUAUGGAUAAAAAAUUUCAUAAAUUAAUGUAAAAAAAAUCAAAAAUUUGAUUAAAUUUUUAAAUAUCCCCAAUUAAAUAAUUUUAUAAAUUACAAUAAAAUUUAAUUUAAUAAUAAAUAUAAAAUUAUAAAAUUCUAUAGGGUCUUCUCGUCUAUUAAUAAAAUUUAAGAAUUUUAACUUAAAAUAAAAUUUAAUUAUACUUAAAUUGAGACAGAUUUUAUUUCAUUCAAUCUUUCAUUCCAGACUUAAAUAAUAAGACAAAUGAUUAUGCUACCUUUGUACAGUCAAAAUACUGCAGCUAUUUAAAAAUAUUCAUUGAGCAGAUUAGAUUUAAAAUUAUAAACAAUAAACCAUGUUUUUGAUAAAC